UUUUUCUUCUGAAAUAUUGUCACGUGACCGGUCCGGUAAGAUGUAUUAUACGCCAAUAGUUACAGCAGUUAAUCUCUAUUUUACCGACAUUUGUCUACUCUUGCUACUCAGUGAUACUUUUGUUAUUUACGUUUGAUCCUGUGAUAACAUCUUAUACUUAAUUUGUAUAUAUACAUAGUUAAAGAUACAGUUUUGUUUUGAAGGUUUUACUUAGGUGUGUAUAUAUACAAAACUAUUAUUAAGAUACAGUUCUGUUCUGGAGAAUAAAAUCACUGCCAUUGAUUACAAGAGACGUAUGUAUAAUUAUGCAUUUUUAUAAUCAUACAUUUGUAAUACUGCUAACCUCAAAGUGUGUUUACAUUGGAGAAUUGAAAAAUGGAGUAUGAAUGUGUGUCGUGCGACAGAAUAUUUAAAAAUAGGAGUUCGUUACUGACGCACUCGCAGAUUCACACAAACAAACAAAAUUUUGCUUGUGAUAUUUGCGAUAAAAAAUUUACUCAAAGAGGGAACUUAAACGUUCACAAGAAAUCUCAUUUGAAUAAAAAAGAGUUCGAAUGUGCACUUUGUGAUUCUAAGUUCAUCACAAAAUCACAAUUAGAAAAUCAUCAAAACACCCAUACAGGAUUGAAGAAAUUCGAGUGUGAUUUUUGUGGGAAAAAAUUUAACAGAAAAAGUGUGUUAGUUGAUCACAUAAAUGUACACAUGAAUAAUGAGUCGUAUAAAUGUCAAAUCUGUUUAAAAGUGUACAGAUUUAGACAAUAUUUAACGACUCACAUGCGAGUGCAUACCAAUGAAAAGAAAUAUAGUUGUCCUAUUUGUUUGAAAGGAUUUUCAGACAAAAGUAAUUUUAAUCGACACACUAAAAUACAUGUCUAAUUUCAUAUUAAAAAAUAAAUAAAUUUUUUUUCAAAUU